rnacentral:lncRNA from 1 species
UUUGGUCUGAAUCCAGGUUUUAAAAAUUAUUUUUAUGGAUUGAUUAAUAUUAUUAUACACAACAGGACUACAGAAUGUAGGAGGUGGGGUAACUGUCCCCAAAAGAGGUCAUAGCCUUGUUGGAGAGACAACAUAUAAACAUAGAAAAAAAUAAAAGAGGUCUCUUAGGAGACUAUAAAUGAUUAAAGCCUUAAUGAAGGCAGAGGAAGAAGUUUCUAUGGGCACAAAUAAUAAGUAAUGAUGUCUUGCUAGAGAUGUCCUAUUUUAGAACUUAUUGGUGAAUUAUGACAUUCUAAGAUAGGCCUAAGUGUACAAGACUUAGGUCUAAAAUUAGGCAUUAGAAACUGCCUCCCUGCUUGGCCUGGCUGAUGGCAGAGGGAGGUUCAGCAAUACAGGGGAGAUUCAGUAGCCAAAGAUGGGUUCAUCUAUAGCUAUGAUGAGAUAAACAGUUGACACCAAGAUUAUACAUUCUGGUGUCUAGAAGGCGGAUCUUCGUGUAUUCAUCCAUUCUCACACUGCUAUAAAGAUACUACCUGAGACUAAGUAAUUUAUAAAGAAAAGAGGUUAAUUGACUCACAGUUCUACAUGGCUGGCGAGGCUUCAGGAGACUUACAAUCAUGGUGGAAGGUGAAGAAAAAGCAAGGACCUUCUUCACAUGGCAACAAGAGAGAGAAGGGUGAGCAGGGGAAAUGCCAGAUGCUUAUAGAACCAUCAGAUCUUGUGAGAACUCAUUCACUAUCACAAGAACAGCAUCAGGGGGAACCACCCCUAUGAGCCACUCACCUCCCACCAGGUCCCUCCCUUGACACAUGGGGAUUAUGGGGAUUACAAUUCAAGAUGAGAUUUGGGUGGGAACACAAAGCUUCCAUAUCAUUCCGCCCCUGGCCCCUCCCAAGUCUUUUUCUCUCAUUUCAAAACAUAAUCAUGCCUUCCCAACAGUACCUCAAAGUCUUAACUCAUUCCAGCAUUAAACCAAAAGUCCAAGUUCAAAGUCCCAUCUGAGACAAGGCAUGCCACUUCUGUCUAGUAGCCUGUAAAAUCAAAAGCAAGUUAAUUACUUCCAAGAUACUAUGGGGGUAUACGCAUUGGAUAAAUACUCCCAUUCCAAAUGGGAGAAAUUGGCCAAAACAAAGGGGAUACAGGCCCCCAUGCAAGUCUGAAAUCCAGCAGGGCAGUCAUUAAAUCUUUAAGCUCCAAAAGGAUCUCCUGUGACUCCAUGUCUCAUAUCCAGGUCAUGCUGAUGAAAAAGGUGGGCUCCCAUGGCCUUGGGCAGCCCUGCCCCUGUGGCUUUGCAGGGUAUAGCCCCCGCCCUGGCUGCUUUCAUGGCUGGCAUUGAGUAUCUGCGGCUUUUCCAGGCUAAUGGUGCAACCUGUUUGGAGGAUGGUGGCCCUCUUCUCAUAGCUCCAAUUAGGCAGUGCCCCAGUGGGGACUCUGCAUGAGAAAUCCAACUUCACAUUUCCCUUCCACACUGUACUAGCAGAGGUUCUCUGUGAGAGUUCUGCCCCUGCAGAAGACUUCUGCCUGGACAUCUGGGCCAAGAUCAAGGAAAAAGGAACAUAAUUUUGGAUUGGGCUGAAUGUAUUGAUAUGAGAACAUUUGUCUACCAAAGGGCUUUGGAAGUAUGGAAGAAAGGGAGGCUGGCAGUGCUUGUUACUUGGUUUCCUUUGGUUUUAUUUAGAGAAAAAAAAGCCAAUUCUGAAGGGUAGGUAGGGUUUAAAUACAAAGGAAAAGAAUCUUCUCUUUGGGAUUCAGUCACAGUAACUACAUUUAGGUUAGGGUAAUCUAGAACUAGUUGCUAUCUGGAACUCGACUUGUCUGUUGUCCACCAGACCCACCUUCAGGUACUAAAAGUCCAUUCUCACUAGCUGUGCAUGGUAUCCAUAAUUUAGUCCUGAUACGUUACAGAUGAGGUGAACAGCUGGCAUCAAGAACCAAAAUGGGUAGGGUCAGCAUUAAAAAGGUCUAGUAGCAGACAGCAGGGUCUCAGAUAAUGGACUUGGACUUAAGAGCAGGAAUCUAGAGUCUCCAAGGAGGUUAGGGGAAAAGGACUGGAAAACAAGAAUGGUUUUACAUUUUAAGAGGCUGACAUCUUGGACAAAUAAUCUAAUGAAGGGCUCGAACUCAGCAAUCGCAGGAGUCUAGUUACCAGGCUUGAGGUAUAUGCUGGACACAGAUAUUAAGGAACUGCACAUCCUUCUCAAACUAGGGUAUAAUUCUGGGACUAGUAAAUAAAAAGCAUUGCAUAUAUAAGAAAUUAUGAUACAUCUUCUAAGGAAUUAGUAGUUGACAGCAAUUUACAUUUUACAUGAAAAUUAGUCACAUUUUAAAUUAGACAGCCAAUUUCGGUGAAUUUAGAAGUAAACACAAGACUUCAAAGAAAUGUCCAGAUUCUAGUAGGCAGUUUCAGGCUGUACUUCCAAGUCACUGUUUGUCUUAGAAAAGUUCAGAAGGCAAUGAUGGGAAAAAGCACUGUAUAUGGGAAAGACUUACUUUAAACUAAA